GACGAACGCUGGCGGCGUGCUUAACACAUGCAAGUCGAACGGAAAGGCCCUGCUUUUGUGGGGUGCUCGAGUGGCGAACGGGUGAGUAACACGUGAGUAACCUGCCCUUGACUUUGGGAUAACUUCAGGAAACUGGGGCUAAUACCGGAUAGCAGCUCCUGCUGCAUGGUGGGGGUUGGAAAGUUUCGGCGGUUGGGGAUGGACUCGCGGCUUAUCAGCUUGUUGGUGGGGUAGUGGCUUACCAAGGCUUUGACGGGUAGCCGGCCUGAGAGGUUGACCGGCCACAUUGGGACUGAGAUACGGCCCAGACUCCUACGGGAGGCAGCAGUGGGGAAUAUUGCACAAUGGGCGGAAGCCUGAUGCAGCAACGCCGCGUGCGGGAUGACGGCCUUCGGGUUGUAAACCGCUUUCGCCUGUGACGAAGCGUGAGUGACGGUAAUGGGUAAAGAAGCACCGGCUAACUACGUG
rnacentral:rRNA from 1 species